rnacentral:rRNA from 1 species
GAUGAACGCUGGCGGCGUGCCUAAUACAUGCAGGUCGAGCGAACGGACGAGAAGCUUGCUUUUCUGAUGUUAGCGGCGGACGGGUGAGUAACACGUGGAUAACCUACCUAUAAGGCUGGGAUAACUUCGGGAAACCGGAGCUAAUACCGGAUAAUAUUUUGAACCGCAUGGUUCAAAAGUGAAAGACGGUCUUGCUGUCACUUAUAGAUGGAUCCGCGCUGCAUUAGCUAGUUGGUAAGGUAACGGCUUACCAAGGCAACGAUGCAUAGCCGACCUGAGAGGGUGAUCGGCCACACUGGAACUGAGACACGGUCCAGACUCCUACGGGAGGCAGCAGUAGGGAAUCUUCCGCAAUGGGCGAAAGCCUGACGGAGCAACGCCGCGUGAGUGAUGAAGGUCUUCGGAUCGUAAAACUCUGUUAUUAGGGAAGAACAUAUGUGUAAGUAACUGUGCACAUCUUGACGGUACCUAAUCAGAAAGCCACGGCUAACUACGUG